rnacentral:lncRNA from 1 species
CGCUCUCUCUCCUGCCACCUUGUAAAGAAGGUACAUGCUUCUCCUUUGCCUUCUGCCAUGAUUUUAAGUUUCCUGAAGCCUCCUCAGCCAUGCUGAACUCCAUGAUCACCACUUUGGCUCAACCUGGUACUGGAGGUCCUGCCCCGUGCAAUAAGGCAAGAAAAAGAAAAAGGCAUGAAGAUUGGAAAGCUGACACCAUGAAUCACAGUGGAAUUCUCCAAAUGGAAUGCAGCCACACCUCAGCUUCUGUGCUGCGUGCUGCCACUGAGGACAUUCGAUACCAUUGAAGCCGUCAGAUAGAGGAUGAAGACGGAUGGCCUCUUGGCACCCAUCUCUUUGGCAUGAACGAUGUGGGGAAACGUGAAUGGAAAUGGGGAACUGUUGCUGGCACCCAGAAGUCAUCCGGUCCGGAUGAAGCCAAGUCACAAGGAAGUGCCUCCAAUUAUUCUUCAUAAAUUCCUCUGAGGUUUCACUUCUUGUCCACACAAGACUUUAAUAAAAUGUGGCAUCUAACUGAAUAAAGACUAUCCUUUCGGG